rnacentral:lncRNA from 1 species
CUGCACUUUAUAAACACGAAAACAAAAUAAAAAGAGUGUGUAGAUAAGUGUGUUUUAUUUUUCUACUAAGUUUAAUCUCUAAAAAAAAUAAUAAUAAAAAGACCAAAAAUAUACAUGAUGGAAAUGAUGAAUAGUUGCUCUGUUUGCUUACUUACAAGCACCUAGCUUUUAUAUUAGAAUUCUUCCAGGAAUUACUAAAACUAAAAUUACUAUCUUUGGGAAGCAUAAAACUAAAGUCUAGGUAAGCGAAAGGCAUGAUAUAAAGUUGAGCUACUGUUUAUCUUGUUCCUACUACACUAAGUUCUAGAGAUUUAUUUUUGAAAACUUACAAAUCACAUGAUGAGUUCCUAGCAUAACAAAAUUACCUACCACAGCCAUACUUGCUAUAACAUCUUUCACUAUAUUCACAUUGAGUUUGAUCGAGCUGUGUAGACCCUUAGGAGCUUUUCAUGUGGUUAAAUUAAGAUAUUCACUUGCACACAUCUACCACAGCAUUCAUCAUCAAUCAUUAAAAUUGCUAAAAAUAUAUUAUCACUCACUGUCCCAAAUAUUGUUAUUCUCUCUCUAAAAAGAUUCAAUGCAGAAGAGGCAUGGGUUAUGCAAAAAUAUACGAGGAAAUAAAAAAAGGGCAAGUGCCCGGAACCUCGAAAAAGAAAGAAAAAGAGUGAGACGAGAGGUAAAAAUGGACAAGUGUCCGAAGUAGAAUUAGGGGUACAAAGAUGCCCACUUGAGUGGAAAAAAUGGACAAGUGUCCGACAGUAGAAUUAGGGGUAUCUACUACCCACCUGAAAAAAAAAGAAGAAAAAGAGAUAGCCCAUGUUCUCCCAAGGCAAAGAUCAAAGAGGAGGAGAGAUAGCAAUAUGAGGAUCAAUGAGAACUAAGUUUUAUUAUCACUUAUGCAUUUUCACCAUCACUAUCAUUUACUCCAUCACACAUGCACAUCUUGAUUUAAUUAUAUGCUGAGUUCCUUUAGAUCCAUAGCUCGAUUAGACAACAUAUGUAUGAGCUGUUUUCCACUCCUAUGAGCUCCACUUAAUUAUUCUAUUAGCUAUAGGUAAGUGACAUUAUGGUAAGGAUCCACAAAUACCAUAUAUAGAGAGACUUGAGAGAAUCAUUGCUGGGAACUCUGAGUUUUAUUUUGAAAACUUAUGAAAAACUCUAGAACAAAAGUGAAGUAUAGACAAGAGGGAUAGUGCUUGACUUAACUAUUUUGUCUUUUGAUUACUUAAGAUUUAAGUGCAGGUACUAAACUCAUAACACUUCACUUUAAUCUGGAAGAAUUUUUAUGUAAAAGCAUGUGCGCCUGUCAGGAAAGAAAACAUCGAAGCAACUCCUGAUCCAUCUGAGUUUAGCUGUUUGCUCAGGGACGAGCAAAGGGUAAGCUUGGGGGAGUUUGUUGACGGUCCUUAAGUACUAAAAUUAAUAAUCAAAUAAACAUAGAAAAGGAUCAAUAUGAAACAAACAUCUAGAAUUAGGGUUUUAUCUGACAGAAUUCCACGAGUUUUGGUGUUUAUCUAUUUCUGCAGGGGUUUAUCAGAAAAUAUGGAGAGAAGGCCCACAUGUCAUGUUUACAACGAGAUAAUUACGUGCCGCGCAAUUUUCCUCAAUCUAGAAGGAUCCAGAAGCCACGGGAACGAACAGGACGCGAUUCAGGCUCGGGAGCUGGGCGGCCGCCCACCCCCCUUGGGCGCCCGCCCUGGCCAGGAAGCCAACCAGGACUCUGCUUCGGGACAACUCUCGACCGACCUAAAGGAUCAAUCUAAACCAUACAAUCUAUGUCGGUUUGAUCCAAUGGCUCACGUCCACUUGAGGGGACUAUAAAACCAGACCCCCUGGCCCCUGGAGGAGAGGAGGAGAAAUCAUUAUUCAGAGGUAGCCAUCAAAGUUAGGGUUUAGAUCUCUCUCCGACAGAGAAUUAGAAUUAGCUACUCCCUAAUCCUUCAAGUUUAGAGGUUUGAUUAGAUAGCAAUUAGAGAAGUAGUGCACUACGCUCUGGAUUCGGAUCUUUGGUAAUAAAGAUUGGUAUUAUUCAUAUCUUUCUCUAAUUCUAUUGUUCUAAUUGCAUUAUGUCUCUAAUUAUUAUGUUCUUAGUUUGCUCUAGUUCUAUAUUUGAUAUAGUUCUAAUUGAUAAUGAGUUUAUAUAUAAGUUUGCAAAGCGCUUAGCUCUUGUCGCGAGGGAGUUAAGUGAUAGAUCACAUGUGAGCGUGGUGCUUAGAUGUUAUUUAUCUGCAAAUGUAUCCUAUUGGCCGAGUCGUGUGGUAGUUCGCGAUAGUGACAGCUUCGUUGAUUCUUAUAUAGUCCACCCUCCGUUGCUAGGACAGGCAGAACCGGUAUUGUGGAGUAAGUCAUGCGAUGUUCUGAUUUACUUUAUCAAUGUUCCUUAUACAUGAAUGAAGAGUCUUUUAUGCUAUAUAUGAUCUUGUAGAUAACUAGAGUAGAUUAUGACUUAGUAGUUAGUAGAUAACUUAGAAUCCAUUCUCUAGCUAAUCCGACAUCACCUACAUAUAUGAGUAGUCUAUUUUCUAAUCGCUGUGCUAUCUACCCAUGAACUUAUGCUUUAUUAUCAUUAUCUUUAUGGUUUACCCCCUGCUAAAGUAAGUGACUGUGUGACGAGUUUCUCAUUAGUAAUCAUGUUCUUGCAAGUUUAUCACUAGUCUAUGCCUUGAUAGAUUUUGUCCCUUGAUUUAAUUCCAUCUUCUUUAGAUCCCUUGAGCAAAAUUAUAAAUAACGAUAUCUGGAAUACUUAUCCUGGUAAAAUGCUACAAUGAGGUGUUUUAUCUGUGCGCUUGCGGAUAGAAUAGAUUAUUUUCUAGAGAGCCUUUACAUUUAUAAAUACCUUUGUACACUCUGGCGCCAUGCUAGGGAUGACAACCUAGUAUCUAAGUGGUGUUAGCUAGUGUCAACACUUGCCAAGAGGUAACUUGGUAGUUAUCCUUUUCCUUUCAAUUAUUUUAAAUAGUUUACUUAGUUAAUUAAGUUCAUGCUAUCUUAAAAAGAAAAUAAAAAUGUGAAAAACAGUAAGCCCCAUUUGAGUAGACGAGUGGCAUAAAACCCAUAAGUACAUUCACUGUGGUGGCAUAAAACUAAAAUAAUUAUUUUUCUGCUCUAUAAAAAUAAAAAUAUAAAAACAGGGAGUAAUAAUUAUUAAGGAGUCUCAACAUGAUAAGGCUAGAUAUUUAUGCUAACACUUAACCAGUUCCACAAGCUUUGUUGUCUAUUUGAACUCCACAAAAUUUAAGAAUUAAGAAGACUAGCAGACGGAGGACAUUCUAAUCGCUGUCAGAAUGCUGCUGACUUUCAAAUACAUCUCUACCACCUGCUAGCUACAUCAAGAGAAAUUACGUCAAAAUUCAGCUUGGGGGAGAGCACCCCCAUUUAUCUCGAUAAGUAUUUCUAUCUAUCUAUCUUUAUACUUAUAUUAUUUUAGAAUAUAAAUAUACAUAAACUAUGGAAAACCAAAUAAAGAGUUUGUGCUUAUAUAUAUAUAUGUCUUUUGCUUAGAGUGUUUAAUAAAUAAAUAAAGUGGCUAUGCUAAUCUGUAUCUAAAUAAAACUUAAGCAUGGAUAUGAUGAAUAGUUGCUCUGCCUAAUUUGCACAUUUUAAGUUUUCUCUCAAGUUUAGACAUAACUGUUAUAAUUUAAAAGCUUGCUCUAGAUCUAAACUUGUGGAAUGAAAACUUGAUCUGAAGUCUAAGUUGUUAACGGAUACGAUAUGGGAAGGUUGAGCUGCUGUUUAUCUGUUCCUAGAGAUGCUAGAAUUCUGGAGAAUUUUAUCUUUAAAAUCUUUAAAAUAUUGCAUGAUGAGUUCUUGUAUGAUGAGAGUUUAAAUUCCUACCACAGCCAUAUAUACAUGCUUGCUAGACUUUGAGCCACACAUUUACUAUUUACUGCUUAUGAGCAUUGAGUGUGGUCAAGCUGUGUAGACCCUUAGGAGCUUGUCAUGUGGUUAAAUCAAGACUCACUUGCACGUUCACUCAUAUAUGCUACUUCUACUCCGGAAGUACCAUCCACAUAUAUCCAUCCAUUUCCAUCUCCAGAAUCACCCAAAAAUAUUCUACUCCUAAUUCGGGAGAGAAUAACCAAAAAUAUUCCUGUUUUUCCCUUGUGAAAUAAAUGCUCAAGUUAUCUUGUUACUACCACUUGCUAUAUUAUCUCAAGAAAUGAGUGCUCUAAAAAAAAUAAAAUAAAUAAAAAUACGAGGAAAUAAAAAGGACCAAGUGCUUGGAACCUCGAAAGAAAAGAAAAAGUGAGACGAGAGGUAAAAAUGGACAAGUGUCCGACAGUAGAAUUAGGGGUAUAAGAUACCCACCUGAGAGAAAAGAAAAGAAAAAGAAGAGCAUCUCAUUCUCCUCAUAAAGUUUCAAAAAGCAAGGAAGGUAUGUAUCCCCUCAAAGAGCAAAGUAGAAUUAGACUUCCACCACUAUUGUUUCCACCAUUGUUAUCACCAUUAUCACCAUACACCAUUCAUUCGCCACACAUGCACAUCUUGAUUAAACUUAUUGACUUGUUUCUUUGGAUCCAUGGUUUGACUAUGCAAUAAAUGUCUUGUAAGUAUGUAUACUUUAUCUCCCACCUAUGAGCUCCAGAUAUUAAAACCUUAUUAGAGUAGGGUGAGAGAGAAGAUUAUGUUACUAUGCUUUAUACCACAAAUACCACAUAUCUUGAGAGAAGGCAUAUACCAUCACUGCCUUGGUAAGGAUCCAGAAAUACCACAAAAGACAGAUCUGAGAGAAUCAUACAAGGAAUCUCUGAGUUUUAUUUGAAAAUCUGCAAAAACCCCAGAGCUAUAGCUGAUCAAGAAUAAGAGACAUGGCACUUGGCUAGACUGUUCUAUCUUUUAACCACUCAAGACAGAAGUGACGGUUACAAGUCCCAUGGUGAAGGUAAAGUAUGUAAGUUUUAAGUCUUGACAAUUUACUCUAACUCAGAGAUGAGAUCUUAUUUAAAAAACAUGUGUACCGUCAAUUUUUAAAUAUUGUAACAACUUAUGAUCCAUAGCUGAGUCUAUCCUUGCUCAGGGACGAGCAAGAGGUAAGCUUGGGGGAGUUUGUUGACGGUCCUUAAGUAUCAAAUUUAAUUAUCAAAUAAAUAAAGAAAAGGAUCCAAAUGAAAUCAAGAUCUAGACUUAGGGUUUUAUCUGACAGAAUUCCACGAGUUUUGGUGUUUGUCUAUUUCUGCAGGGGGUUAUCAGGAAAUACGGAAGAAAGGCCCACACGUCGGGAUUACAUAGAGAUAUUAACGUGCCGCGCAAUUAUCUUACAUCUAGAAGACUCCAGAAGCCACGAGACCGAAGCGGAGGCGAAACGGGGCCAGAGGCAGGGCCCCCGCCCUCCUGCCCUGGGCGCCCGCCCCCUCUAGGAGUCCAAUCAGGACUCUGCUUCGUGGGAGAUCUCCACCGACCUAAAGGAUGAAUCUAAACCAUACAAUCUAUGUCGGUUUGAUCCAACGGCCCAUAUUCACUUGAAGGGACUAUAAAACCAGACCCCCUGGCCCCUAGAGGAGAGAGCCUCUCAACCCUAAUUCAUUGUUCCUCAAGGGAGAAGAAGCCUCUGAUCAAGAUUAGAGCCACCACAUCAAUUAGAUAUCUAGAUUAGCAUAGCUACAUAGGAUUAGAACUAGAAGGAGUCAAUCUUCGAUUGGUUUCCGGAUCUGUCAGGAGGAUUCUUGGUAAUUCUCUAAUUGUGCUUCUAAUUACUUUCUAAUUAUCUUUGUUCUUCAAUAUUAUGAAUAUGACUUUGUUCUACUUCAAUAUAUUGCUUAUGACUUUGCUCUAUUUGCUUAUAUUCAAGAUUAUAUUGUUCUUAGUUUAUCAUAGUUAUGUACUUGGCUUAGUUAGAUUCGAUCUAUAUAUAUGCUUAGGAUCGUAUAGCGUUUAUCCAUCGGAUCCAUGGGUAAAUGAUAGAUAUUGUGUAGGCGUGGUGCUUAUACCGUAUUUAUCUACGAUUGUACCCAAUAUGCCAGAUCGUGGGGUGGUUCGUGAUAGUGACAACUUCAUUGAUUCUUAUAUAGUCCACCUCUCGUGUAUUGGGCUGGCAGAGCAACAUUAUUAUAGGGGAGUGAUUGCUAUGUUUCUCAUUUACCUUGCUAAUAUCACUAUGCAUGAGCGUAGUCUUGUCUCACAAUGAUUGCUAAGUAUGCUUGCACUAACUAUGAUAAUGCUAAACUAUAUAGUUGAGAAUAACUUAGGGAAUAUUCUUGUAGUUCGUUCUAAUACCAUGCUAAUGACUUUCUAGAGUAUCUAAUUGAGGUGCUUAUUAUAUUUAUUAUGUGGCUAGAUCAGAUUAGUUAUCCUUGUCACUAUUAUUAUUUCAUAUAUCUUUUAUGUGACACUUAUCCCUGUAUGAAGAGUUAGAUAUAAUGUUCUCAAUUAUACAUGCAAUGAUAGAUGCUCAAUCUCAUAUUCUAUUCUGUAAUCACUAUUGAUGAUUUCUAAUCCCUUCCCAGUGGUAAAAAUAUAAAUAACGAUACCUAGAAUACUUCCCGGUUAAAAUGCUACAUCGGUAUUAAUCUGUGCGCUUGCAGGUCCCAUUCAUUAUUUUUUUAGAAGAGCAAUUGCAUAUUUCAAUACCGCGUCUCGCAUGUCAUGCUGGGGAUGACAACUUGGCUUAAGUGGUGUGAGGGAUAGGUUUGGCAUUUUUGGCACCGUUACUAGAUUUAGAGAACUUAGUCUACUUUUGGUAAUGAUGUUAAGAAUACCCAACACCCGACGGUUAGCAAACCCUGUACUAGUUAAGAAAAAGAAUGGGAAAAUGAGGAUGUGUGUCGAUUAUACGAGUUUAAAUAAAGCAUGUCCAAAAGUUCCCUUUCCAUUACCACGUAUUGAUCAAAUUGUUGAUUCUACUGCGGGGUGUGAAACCCUUUCUUUUCUUGAUGCAUAUUCUGGUUACCAUCAAAUAAAAAAGAAAGAGUCCGACCAGCUCGCGACCUGUUUCAUCACACCUUUUGGGAUGUAUUGCUAUGUAACCAUGCCAUUUGGGCUUCGAAAUGCGGGAGCCACGUACCAACGCUGCAUGCUCCAUGUAUUUGGCAAGCAUAAAGGGUCGACGGUCGAGGCCUAUGUCGACGACAAAGUCGUCAAAUCAAAGCGGCAAGGAGACCUGAUCCAGGACCUCGAGAUCGCUUUUAGCUGCUUACGAGCCAACCAGAUCAAGCUCAAUCCCGGGAAAUGCGUUUUCGGUGUGCCUCGAGGCACGCUCUUGGGCUACAUUGUUUCCCAGAGCGGCAUCGAGGCCAACCCCGAGAAAGUCUCGGCCAUCACAAGAAUGGGGCCGAUUCGAGACAUCAAGGGUGUGCAGAGAGUCACGGGAUGCCUAGCGGCGCUGAGCCGUUUCAUCUCGAGAUUAGGAGAAAAGGCGUUACCGCUGUAUCGACUUCUGAAGAAGGUCGAGAGUUUUUCUUGGACCCCCGAGGCCGAGGAAGCCCUCGAAAAUCUGAAGAAAACACUGACCUCAGCACCAGUCCUGGUCCCACCUCAACCUGCGGAACCACUGCUCCUUUAUGUUGCCUCGACGACCUAGGUUGUCAGUGCAGCGGUGGUGGUCGAAAGGCAGGAGGAGGGGCAUGUGUUGCUAGUCCAGAGGCUAGUCUAUUUCGUCAGCGAGGUGCUCUCGGAGACCAAGGCACGUUACCCCCAAAUCCAGAAGUUGAUCUAUGCCGUAAUCCUCGCCCGCCGUAAGCUGCAGCACUACUUCCUCGGCCACCCUAUCACGGUGGUCUCGUCUUUCCCCCUGGGUGAGAUAAUCCAGAGUAAGGAGGCCACGGGAAGAAUAGCUAAAUGGUCGGUCGAGCUCAUGAGUGAGACUCUCACUUUUGAGCCUCGCAAGGCCAUCAAAUCGCAAUCCCUGGUGGACUUCGUCGCGGAAUGGACAGACUCCCAGCUUCCCCCGACUCAGGUCCAGUCGGAGCUGUAGACGAUGUAUUUUGACGGGUCAGUCAUGAAGACGGGAGCCGGGGCCGGCCUGCUGUUCAUCUCGCCCUUGGGCGUCCAUAUGAGGUACAUCAUCAGGAUUCACUUUGCCGCAUCUAACAAUGUCGCCGAGUACGAGGCCCUCGUCAACGGUCUCAAGAUCGCCAUCGAGCUAGGAGUCUGACGCCUCGACGUCCGAGGCGACUCCCAACUCAUCAUCGACCAAGUGAUGAAGACUUCAAGCUGCCACGACCUGAAAAUGGAGGCGUACUGCAAAGAAGUCCAUCGACUCGAGGACAAAUUCCAUGGCCUUGAGCUCGUCCAUGUCGCCCGACGUACAAUGAGGCAGCCGACGAACUCGCCAAGAUCGUGUCGACCCGAGGCACGGUACCACCUGACGUGUUCUCGAGAGAUCUUCACAAGCCAUCCGUUGACUUGGGCUCGGGGGCUGGCGACGAUGCCGCUCCUGCCUAGCCAACCGACACCGUCGACGCACUAUUGAUGGCAGCUGAGGUGAUGGAGGUAGAACAGCGGCCCGGUCGACCGUUCGACUGGCGCACACCGUUCCUCGACUGCCUAAUCCACUGCGAGCUACCAGAAGAUCGAUCUGAGGCCCGCCGUAUCGCUCGACGGGCCAAGUCAUAUGUGAUUUAUGGGGAAGGCAAUGAGCUAUAUCGACGAAGCCCGACGGGGGUCUUGCAGCGUUGCAUCACCGUGGAAGAAGGCCGGAAACUCCUCGAGGACCUACACUCGGGGGCUUGCGGCCACCACGCUGCUCCACGGACCCUCGUAGGGAACGCCUUCUGACAAGGCUUAUACUGGCCAACGGCCGUAGCAGAUGCCAUCGAGCUCGUACGCUCAUGUCAUGGGUGCUAGUUCUACGCCAAACAGACGCAUCUGCCCGCCCACGCUCUUCAGAUGAUCCCCAUCACAUGGCCAUUUGCGGUGUGGGGGCUCGACUUAGUAGGGACCCUACAAAAGGCGAAAGGAGGGUACACCCACUUGCUGGUGGCCAUCGAUAAAUUCUCCAAAUGGAUCGAGGCUCGACCCAUCACCAACAUCCGCUCCGAGCAGGCCGUCCUUUUCUUCACCGACAUCAUCCACCGGUUUGGGAUUCCCAACGUCAUCAUCACCGACAACGGCACUCAGUUCACCACCAAAAAGUUCUUGGACUUCUGCGAUCAGCAUCACAUCCGUGUGAACUGGUCUGCAGUAGCCCACCCUCGAACUAACGGCUAGGUGGAGCGGGCCAACAAAAUACACCCCAUUCUUCAUGGUCUACGGCUUUGAGGAUGUCCUCCCCACAGACCUCGAAUAUGGGUCCCCUCGACUUAAAGCGUACAACGAGCAAUCAAAUAAGGAAACUCAAGAAAACGCGGUCGACCAACUCGAGGAGGCUCGAGACAUGGCCCUCCUUAACUCUGCCAGAUAUCAGCAGAAACUUCGACGUUACCACGACAAGCACGUGAGCAAGAGGGACUUAAACAUGGGUGACCUUGUCCUACGACGGCGGCAGAGCAAUCAAGGACGCCACAAGCUAACUCCACCUUGGGAGGGCCCAUACGUGGUGGCCGAGGUCUUGAAACCAGGGACAUACAAGCUCGUGGACGAAAAGGGGGCGAUCUUCACCAACGCGUGGAACAUCGAACAGCUACAUCGAUUCUACCCCUAGAAGUUCAAAACUUUAUGUUCCUACGUACAUUCUGUACCAAGGCCUUAUAAAUGAAUGUAUGAAUAAAUGAAGCCUUUCCCUCGAGCGAUUUACUUUCUCACAAAUCCCGACGUUAGAAGGGGGUAUCAACUAUGGCCCAUCAUAGUCGAUACCCCCUCGGGGGCUACCAGGGGGGCGACCCCCCAAGUGUCGAAAAAGCCAAGAAAUUCUCUCUUCCUUACUUAGUAAACCUUGCACGUUCAAGUAGUUGAGGCGCCUCGAGCCCCUUGAGGACCGAGGGACAACGAGUCUGAGAACUCCUACGCCACCGGGCUAUGGAAACUCUACUCACUUCCCCACCCUUGAGGUGAUCGAUGCUGUUUUUUGAUGAAAGAUCGAACAAGGAAUACAAACAUAGGCGCAAAGGGAAAUAAAAGAGCCGCGAGCGGAAAGACAGAAAAAAAUUUAACAAAUACUUAAAGACACUGUAUCACUUAAAAAACAAGUUAAUAAGAGUACUAUACAAGGGGCCCAAGGCACCCAAAGCAGGCUCGCAGGCCUUAGUCUUCAGCACGAUCCUCACCACCGUUGCCUGCGCCCAAGCUAGUCUCAGGAGGAAGCACCUCAGGCUCAAAUAGCAUGGCCAGCCUCUCUCCAGGAACCUCCGUGUCGUCGAUCAAGGUGUGGAGCCUCUCUUCGUUCUCCGCGUCGGUCUUAGAGAUGUCGGUGAUGAAGCCGUGGGACACCACCUCCAUGUCGUAGGAGAAGCCCGAGCAGACAACCGCCAUCGCCUGCUUCACCCCGAUGUGGAGGGCAUCCCGCACCCGAUCUCGCAGUGUCGCGCCUAAGUAGCACAGCUGGUCGACCAGUGCGUCGCCUCGAGCGUCCUCCUUCGACUCGUCCAUAGGCUCGAUCUCCCAAGAGGUCGAGAGGUCGCUUAUCGCCGUCCGCACUCGACGGUUCAAAACAACCUCCGCCUCGAGCUGGGCCUUAGCACUACAGGCCUCGAUUUGGGCGGCUAAAAGUUUGUCCUUAAGCCCUGUAAAUGGCAAUACAAGAAACUUUAGGAAAAGCCAAGCACACCUCGAAAAAGAAAUCCGAUAAUGGGAAUGUACCGCGGACACUCUCCUCUAGGGCCGUGUUCUCGCCGACUAAUCUGGUGUUGGCCCUCUCGAUCUCUUUGUUGGAGCGUGCCAGCUCAGUGUUGGCAACGCAGAGAUCCUCGAUCUCCUUGCCAGCCUAAGCAAUGGCCCCACUCUUCUCCAAUAGCUCUCCCUUCAGACGUUCGACGUCGUCAGAGAGCCUGCGGGAUCGAGCCCGCUCCGCCUCGAGGUCUUCGAGGGCCUUCUUCUUUGCGUCCUCUGCAGCACCCCUGGCGACCUCGCUGUCCACAUACGCCACCUUCAUCUUUUGGAAGGAUUCUCGGAGGGAGUCCAGGUCGGUCUUGAGAAGGCCCUUCUCCUUGUCCAGAUCGGCAAUGACAUUCUUGUAGGACAGGGCCUCCUCCCGGGCUUUGGAUGCGGCCUCCUCGACCGUCAGAGCCCGCUGCCGCAGCAGCGUCGUCUCCUCCUCUGCUUUCCUUGAGGCCUCUCAAGCCUUGACCAAGGCAGCCUCCCUCGCCUUCUUCUCCUCCUCGAGCGCUAUGAGGUCUUUAUAGGCCUUAAGGAGCUUUUCUUGCGACUCGAGGAGUUGGUCCUUGAGGACGGGUAGCUGCUCCCAGCCUCCUCUUGUGGCGUGAAUGAAGCUCGACUUGAUACGGGAGGUCUCUUUCAUGUCCUGCGAACCGGGGGUCGAACGGUUAGAACACGAAACCAAAGGAUCUAUGAGAAUUAAGGACCGAAAAAUACUUACGAAGUAGGCCGGCCCGAGCCCGUUGUUGAUGAAGUCCGACAGGAGCCCCACCACGUGCUUCAUCCAAAGGCGGAGCUCCUCGACGUGUUCCCAUUUCUCCGCCUCCUUCCUAUCGUCCAGGAAGAUGUUGGGCUCGGACAGAUCGGUGGAAGCCUGGAUGCGGAUCCGAUCGGGGCACCAGUUCUCCAUCUCCUGGUCAGCCCGCGCCUUGACGCUGCGGAUAAGGUCCUCGAUGGUCUCGAGGGAGCCCCCAGGGCGCAAGAACAGGUCGACGAGGCAUGGGAACCGCCCGUCGUCGUCCACCGUCUUCCAGGUACCAUCCUUACUCCCCGACGUCCCGAUCUCGUCCUCCUUAGAGGGAAAACGGUCCCCCCACGCCCGACGCUCCCGGAGGAACCCUGGGGCGAUCCCGUCCACGCCGUAGAUCGUCCUCCUGAUCUCGGACUCGGGGUCGGCGGGGGUGCGCAUCAAGCAGGCAAGUGCCACCACACCGUCCGCUCGCCCUGGCUCUGCCCGGAUCGCGGCGGGCGCCCCCGGAAGAAGCCACGCUGGGGUUGGAGGGCCGUACACCAGCAAAUCCUCUGCCUGUUCUCCGGGCUCUUGCGGCGCCGGUGGUACUGGUUGGGGCAGACCUUGAGGCGGGGGCUCGAGCGGUCCUUCUUCUUGGCCCCCCUCAUGCUGCUGCUGCUGCCCCUCGAGCAUCUGCUGCUGUUGCUCCACCUGCUGCUGCUGCUGUUGCUGCUACUGCUGCUGCUGCUGUUGUUGCUCCUCGUGCUCCUGCGGCUCUCGUUGGCGGCCCUGCUCCUACAGUUGCUGCCUUGCCUCGCGCUCCCGCUCCUCCGCCUCUUCUUUCCUCUUCUGCUCCUCGAGGGCGCGAAGACCAGCAGGCCAGGGUGUCCGUCCCGCGUCGAGGGAAGUCGACGCCUCCUCAUCCAUAGGGUGGACAUUCCUCGACGUCUCGUUGCCGCUAGACGUGUCGCUAAUAGUAAUGGGAUCCCCCUCGACCCCCGAUCGGGGAGGCUCGGGGGCUCCAUCUUGCCCCUAGGUCUGGGGGACCUCGGCCCGUGUCGGCGGUGACGGGACAAGCUCGGGACGAGGCGGGGCGCUCUCAGCGUCGGCCGGAGGCUGAGAGUCGGAGGAGCCUAUAAAACGUCACUGAAAAGACCAACGUAAGAACAUCACAAGUCCCAUAGGUAAGCCACAAACCUGGCUGCUUGGAGGCUACUCCCGCUUUGAGCCUCUUCGCCAUUGAAGGCUGAGCUUGCUCGAGUGUCCGCUUUAAUCUGAAACAAAAGGAACAAGCGUAAAAAGACCGGUAUACGAGGAAACGCAGAGGAACAGGAGAACAAAAGUCACAACGUCGAAGAGCUUACCCCACGGGGAGAACAGCUCGCCUGCCGAUGCCCCGACCGGUGGGCCUCGAGCCACCCCGUGUCAAGGUCCCAGACCCCUCGAGGACAGGCGUUGGCCUUGGCCCAGCAACUUCCGCCUGGGGGGCACCGGGACUGGCGCUCCUGCGGCCAGUGUCUCCUUUCUCGGAGGCCGCGGCACGACUGCGAGUCAGUGGCCCCGUCGCCUGGGGCCUAGCAUGGCCACCCGUCUUGGGCACGGGGGGAGGGCGCGGGGCGCCUUGACCAGUUGCAGGCACCGGGGGGUGUCGGCACAAGGGCGAAGAGAUCCGCCUGAUCCCUCUUUUGGUGUUUCCAUCCGCGGGGCGUCGACGUCACCUCGAGGCGGACCCUCGAGGAUGUGGUCAAGGCGAGACGCCAUCCCCUCGGAGUCAUCAUUGUCCUCGUCAUCAUCACCAUCAUCGUCGCUGGGGGACUCUUCCUCAGGCUCUCCCCUCUGCCUGGAUUUAGACCGACACGCCUCUAAUGCUUGGCGGUUGAGGUUUUUCUUUUUUUCCCCUUUCUUCUUAGAGUCCUUGGUGGACUUUAGCUUCUCGGCGGACCGGCGCCGCGCGUCACGGUCAACCUCGUCCUCCUUUACUGGAGGCCUCGAGGACCGGACAUCAAUUCGUCCCUGCCAGAACAAAGGUGGACUUAGAAAAAAGGGAAGAAAAGAAAUCCAGAAUCGAAGCUGCGCACGAAAAGAAAGCAUACCAGAUCGAUCGAGCCUGUAUCUAGCCUCAUGGGGAAGCCAUUAACGUGCUCCGGCUUGAAGUCACCAGCAAUGGCGGCCCUGACCCGGGCCAUGACUUCGUCGUUCGCCAGAGCCUCGCUUGACAUCCGACAUGCCUCGAGGUCCCGAGAUGAGACACCGGGAGCCAUCUCGUCCAUCCUCAGCGGUCGAGACAUCAACGGGAGAAAUCUCCGGUGAUGGACGGCUGAGAGGACGAGGGCGGCGGUCAAGCCUUCCGAGCGCAGUUUCUUCAUGACGUCGAGGAGGGGGUCGAGCCGAGAUUGAUGAACCUGGACGACGCCGUACAUCCAAUUCUCCGGACGCUCCGUGAUCAGACGCCCGAUGUAGGCGGGCAGGAGGUCGUCGUCGUUUCUUAAGUAAAACCACUGGGAAUCCCAGCCGACGUGGUUGGUCGACAGUCCCACCGGGAUGUACUCGCGCGCCCUCUCCGUCUUCCCGGUCUUCAACACGAGGUUGAGGCAACCUGCCCGAACAGGUUUCCUCACGCCGGUGGUCCCAGUGGGGGCGUUGAAGAGCUCGCCCUUGUAGAGGUGGAGCCACAGCUCCCAGUGGGGCAUCAUCCCCAAAUAGCCCUCACACACCGCGGCGAAGACUGCCGCAACGGUGAUGGCGUUUGGGGAGAAGUGCUGAAGCUCCACCCCGUAGUGGUGGCAGAGCGCCCGCAUGAAGCGGCUCGGGGGAGCGCCCAGUCCAUGGCGGUGGAACUUGGCGAACGAAACCACAUAGCCCUUGGGCGGUCUGGGCUCCCUGUGGUCUGCCGGCGGCGCGAUCCACUCCGGCGACGACAGCGAGGUGCGGCGGCGCAGGAGUCCCUCCCUCUCGAGCUCUUGCAGCCGGCGCUCCGUCAUCGACGACGGGCGCCAGUCAUCGGCGGCGACAAGUCUCACAGGCAUCCUAGCCGGAAGGAUGGCGGAUCCGCUACUACUCGAGGGGGUGUGCGCGCGUGAGACGGCAAGAAAGCUAAGACGGCGAGAGGGCUAAGGAAAGAAUGAAGACGGGAGGCAGAAGAAAGAACGACGGCGGCGCCACGUCGUAUUUAUAGGCAGCAGUCCGCCAACGGAUAGAUCUGAGAAAUGAGGUAACUCCCCCCAUAAAUGCGCCAUCUAACAGUCCUUUCCCCCCUUCAUAGGUAGGGCACUCCGAAUUCCAUGCCGACGCAGUGUCGUAACGUCUCCACCUAAAAAGGCGCGCCCAACGGGCAAAAAGGCGAACCGCCACGACUCCUUCCUUACCUUGUAAGCCAAGGGAUGUGCCCACAAGAGUCUCGAGAGGUCGAUGGCUGGCCCAUCGAAAGGGUUCGACAGCCGAUCUCGAGCACCAGAGUCAGGGAUCCCCAGCGAGCGGUCGAAGAUCGAGGCCCGCCUCGAAGACUCGCUGGCGAUGUCCAAGGUAGGGUCGAGACAGUCGAGAGGAAUCCCCCCGACGGGAGGCGUCGAGCCGCAGGACUCUAUCAAAUGAGACUAGUAUCCCCAACCACGUCGACCCUGCUUUAUGAGAACGCCUCCGGGCUACAGCUGACCCCCUCGAAAGGGGCACAGGUUCUCACUUGGACUACCCGCUAGGAACUCAAUUUGGGGUGGAAGACGCUCGCUCUAUCGAGAGUACGUCGAAACCUCCGCACGAAACGAGCCAAUCAGAACCUUCCACCACUGGUGUCGACAGUGUUUCUACAAAUUAGGCAAUAUAACCCUCGUAGGAGUCAAAAACUCCUCCAAGGGCUCGGGGGCUACCCCCGCGGGGUCGCUCGCGCGCCCCCACGGAAACUCGACCAAUGAAUACAGCCUCCACUCGAGCGCCAACGCUCAAAUGGAGACUCGGGGGCUACUGUCGAGGGUAUCAGUAAGGGGUAUCCUAACUGAUGCACCUAACGAGAUUACCCAUACACAGAUCGAGGCCCACAACUCGAUGCUCUGGUCAGCCACACAUACAGUCAUCGACGACCGCAGCCUCGAAGACGGAAAAGGUGUCGAGCGAAUCGCUCAGGGGUCGAGCGCCAACUAUCGUCGAAUACGGAAAUAGGCUCGAGCGAAUCGGGAAGCGUCGAGUGCAAGGACACUGUCCGCCGCCUGACGCGCGCACGAGAUCUAGGGCAUUUAAUGCGCCUGUCGCUUUCCCACCUAACGCGCUGGUCACGGGAAGCGUGAUAGGGAACAGGCACCCGUCCAGUCGUUCUUUUUGCUGCCUUCCCCACCAAACGAUCCAGGGCGUGUCAGCACGCGGGAAACAGGGAUGGAACGUCUAAUCAGGACCCCCUCGAGUGAACCGAGGUCAGCGCUCCGGAUAUCAGGGCGUUGCACGGCGUCUGACCCUCGACCAGACAUGGUUCCUUCUUGGGGACGAGUCGGGCGUCGAGUGACAACGCCGCAGCCACUCCGCCGGAUCUGCCGCCAUACCGUACAGGCGUGCGACCGGAGAACCAGCCCAAGACGGCGCGCAGAGCAGGAUACAGGGGCACGCGUAAUCAUCAUCAAGCUACCGAGAUGGGACGGCUCGAGACCACGCCGGUACAGAGGCCUCGAGUAGGUCAGCGCGCCAUGCCUCUAUCGACCCCUACUCUGACACCUAUACAUGUACCCUAGGUCUCUCCUUCGUGCUAUAAAAGGAAGAACCCGGGAAUAGAUACGCAACACUACACACAUACGCAGUAGAACUCCCAUACUCCAUACCACGCUUGUAUUCGCCCCAGUAUAAGCACUUAGGUGCAAGAUAAUACAAACUUCCCUCCCCCGCUGGACGUAGGGCCUUCUCUUGCCCGAACCAGGAUAAAUCUCUGUGUCUUCUUGCAUCACCAUCUAGGAAAGGGAGCACGCAUACAAAUUUAGUCGUUGGUGUGACCCCCCGUGGGGAAAACACCGACAACAGUGCUAUUAACCGUGCCUUGAUCAAUCAAGCUGGUGUGCUGUCCAACACGGUUUUCAAUGUAGUGGCUAGAACUUUCAAGGAAGGGCAAUUGCCACCAAAUUAUGUGGGUCCUUCCUAUCAUCAGCGAGGGUCAUCAUUGGUUACAGCUCCAUCGGCUACUACAGCCGUUGCGGGUACAGAAGCUACUUCUCCUCCAAGCACAUUAGGGAUCACUAAUGCACAAUCUACACCAAUGACGACCAAUCCAUCAACAUCAGACGGGCAAAUCAAGCUUGCCACAGAUCUACUGGCAUCAGCAAUGUCGGGAUCUGUUCCUCUCAACUGGUGGGGUUAUGGCAUGCCCCCAGAGAUGAUGGCAAAAACUCCUGGAACAUCUCAAGUGACCGAUAUGACAGGCAAGGCUCCUAUGACAUCGGCACCUCCAAAUCCGCCAAUGAAUUAGAGUCCCCAGUAUACUACAACUACUACUGCAAGACCUUACACUAGGAAUUCUCAAACUCCAAUGUUUCAGAUGCCUAAUGCAUCGGCAGAUUCAAUGCCGACGCAACAGAGGUUUAUGACACAGCCAGGGUAUGUCAAUUCGAUGAUGAUGCCCAAUUACUAGUCAUCGGCAGGGCUUAUGCCAAUGAAUGCUAACAAUGGAUGGACAGGGCAGUUAGUCUUUCCACAGAUGCCUCAGCAGAAUCAUCAGGCUGUAGGGUUUGAACAAGGCCAAAUCCAACCUGGGUUUCAAAAUCAAGGGUUGGUCAACCAGCCGAUGAAUCUUGGUCAGCAGAUUUGUGGUCAGAUGGUUAAUCCAAUGUUCCAUGCAGAUCGUGCACCUCAGAGACACGUGGAUGCAUAUCAGCAGGUGCCAGAUCCACCACCGCCUCAUCAGCAAGAUGCCAAUGCUUACUGGGCUGAUAAGAUAGGUGAAGUUAUGAGAGACCAGUUUGCGAUAAAACCCAAAGUCAACACUUACUCUUAUCGAACACCGUAUCCUCCCGCAUAUGACCUCAUUCCGCUUCCAAAUCAGUACAAGGUACCCGAUUUCACAAAGUUUUCUGGAUAGGAUCACACAUCAACCAUGGAGCACAUUAACAGGUUCAUCAUCCAAUGUGGGGAGGCUGCUAACAGAGACGAGCUAAGGGUUUGCUUGUUCUCGUCAUCUUUGUCUGGAUCGGCCUUUACUUGGUUUAUAUCGUUACCUCCCAACUUGGUGAUCACUUAGGCCGAUCUAGAAAAACAAUUCCAUAAAUACUUCUUUUCUGGAGUUCAUGAAAAGAAGAUCACCGAUUUGGUCAGGCUGAAGCAACGCAAUGAUGAAUCGGUUGAAAGUUUUGUGCAAAGAUUACGAGAAGUUAAGAAUAAAUGCUAUAGUCGGGUUCUGGAUGAUCGGCAGCUAGCCGAUUUGGCUUUUUAGGGAUUGUUGCCACAUAUCAAAGAUAAGUAUGCUUCUCAGGAGUUCGAGAGCCUAAGUCACUUGUUGCAGAGGAUUUCUGACCAAGCUAUCAAACCCUUUGAGCCCAAGAGAGCAUGGAAUAAAAAGGUGUCAUUUGUCGAUGAGGCAACAAGCUCAGAUUCUGAUGAAGAGCCAGUCAUCGGCUUGGCAGAGUGAGUAAAGAACAAGAAGCCGAUGUCUUGCCCAUUUGGGCAUAAAGAGCCAGAGAAAUUUGCAUUCGAUAUCACCAAAGCCGAUAGGAUAUUUGAUUUUCUACUCCAGGAAGGUCAAAUCAAGUUGUCACCAAAUCAUGUAAUUCCAUCGGCUGAGGAAUUAAAGAAGAUCAAAUAUUGCAAGUGGCACAAUGCAACAUCCCACAGCACAAAUGAGUGCAAAGUUUUCAGGCAACAGCUGCAAUCGGCUAUAGAAUCUGGAAGAAUCAAGUUUGAUUAUUCUAAAGCUCAGAAGCCAAUGAAGAUCAAUCAACAUCCUUUCCCUACAAAUAUGUUGGAUGCUAAGGGAAAAACCAAGGUCUUGACGUCAGAAGCCGCUGAGACAAGUGCAUCGAUGGAUCCUCAACAUCAGAUUACUGUUGUCGAUGCCAAAGGAAAGGGUUUGAUCAAGGAAGAAACUAGCUUGGGAAGGCCUCCCCGAUCUGGCGUUAUGAUAACUCAUAGAAGGCAUCGGGGAACUUGGCAGCAACGUGAAGAUCGGUAUCGGCGCCAAGAAGAAGAUUAUCGUCGGGAGGAGGAAAGGCGCCGACAGGAGUGGAAUCGACAUAAAGAUCACUGGAACUGCCCAUUCUUUAUCCAUUGUUGGGAGCAAAACAUUAAAUUGCCCACUGUUAGAGAUUGCCCUGAAUGCAAUGGUUACGAUCGGUAUGAUAGACCUAAUCGGCAGUAUCAGAAUGAUGAUCGGCAAUUUAAUGGGCCGAUUAAGGGGAGAGCUUUAGUUCAUGAUCGGCUGGGGGGCAAAAUCAGUGUGCAUGAUAGACUUGGUGACCGUAUCGGGUACUUUCCUAGGAACCAAGAGGAACUUGAGGAGAUGGCAGAUGCACGAGUUCGCGAUGAGUUCAUAUUCUGCAGGGAUGCUAAUACCUACUGAGUGGAGUCAAGGGAAAAUUGUCAUCAAUCGGUGAAACAGCCGCAAUGGUGUCUAGAGGGGUUGACUAGAACGCAGAAAAGAAGGUUGCAGCGUGAAAGACGAGAGGAUUUGAGCAGAGGAGAGAUUUCUGGUAAGUCUGGAGAUCAGCAGCAGCUGGAUCCUAAAGGAAAAGGGCCAUCGGCAGAUGUCAACAUGGUAUUUAUGUUGCCAAUGGAAUUCCUUGCACCAUCCAGUGAUGAUGAGGAGUUGGAUUUUUCCGACCAGAUAGCUCAGUUGACUCUGGAUCCGAUGACGGCUAUCUUUGAAAAGCCUGCCGACAAUGAAAGGUAGCAUCUUAAGGCUCUAUUCGUCAAAAGAAGGGUUGAUGGGCAGCCAAUGACCAAGAUAUUAGUCGAUGGUGGGGCCGCUAUCAAUAUUAUGCCAUAUGCAGUCUAUCGGAAGCUUGGGAAAUGAGAUCAAGAUUUAACCAAGACUGAUAUGAUGCUAAAGGACUUCGAAGGGAAUGUGUCUCUGGUUAAGGGGGCGAUAUGCAUCGAGUUGACCAUCGGCAGCAAAACCUUGCCGACGACUUUCUUCGUGAUUAGUGGAAAGGGUGCUUAUAAUCUGCUACUAGGGAGAGAUUGGAUCCAUGCCAAUUGUUGCGUCCCAUCAACAAUGCACCAAUGCUUGGUUCAGUGGGUAGGUGACAAGAUUGAGAUUGUCUCGGGAGAUUCUUCUUAUGUCAUCGCAUCGGCAGAGGCAGGUACUUAUGAAAGGACCAGGUGCAUCUCAGCAGAAGUUUGGGAAAAGGAUUUCCUCAAGAUUGUCGAUUAUGAAAUUCCACCGAUCCAAGCAGUCAGUUCUGAUGAUGAAUUUUAUUGGAUAGGUUCGACGAUGAUGGAAAAUUAGGCCAGGGGUUCACAUCGGCCGAUGAUUUAGUAGAAGUAGAUAUAGGUAAUGGAGAUAAGCCUAGACCUACUUCUAUUAGUGCUAAGUUAGAUUCUGAGUGUAAGCAACAGUUAUCCGAUUUGUUAAAGGAAUAUAAAGAUUGCUUUGCUUGGGAUUAUACUGAGAUGCCUGGUAUAGACCGAUCAAUUGUUGAAGAUAGGUUGUGUCGAGGAUAUCAGUAAGGGGUACCCUAACUGAUGUGCAUAUCGAGAAUAUCCGUACGCAAGUCGAAGCCUCCAACUCGACGCCCUACCUAGUUGUGUGCACGGCCCUCGACGACUAGUAGUCUUGAACACGGAAAGAGCGUCCUGCGAAUCGACCAGGGCUCGGGCGCCGGCUACCGUCGAAUACGGAAAUAGGCUCAUAUGAAUCUGAAGGCCUCGAGCGCAAGGACGCCGCCCGCCGCCUGACACGGGAACUGGGACCAGGGCAUUUAAUGUGCCUGACGCAUUCUCACCUAACCCGUCAGUCACGGGAAGCGUGAUAGGGAACAGGCAUCCGUCCCGUCGUUCCUUUUGCAGCCUUCCCCACCAAAUAAGCCAAAACGUGGCAGGACGCAGAGAAUGGGUCGGAAUGUCUAAUCAAAACCCCCCUCGAGACGUCCAAGGUCAGCGCUCUGGCCAGCAAGGCGUACAUGGCGCCUGACCCUCGAGUAGGCAUUUCUCCUUCCUGGGGAAGGGUCGGGCGUCGAAUGACGACACUUCAACCACUCCAACGUAGCUGCUACCACGACGUACAAGCAUGCAACACAUAAGUCAAUCCAGGACGGUGCACAGAAGCGGGAUUCAGGGGCACGCGUAAUCAUCAUCAAGGCACCAAGACGGGACGGCUCGAGGCCACGCCGGUAUGAAGGCCUCGAGUAGGUCAGCGCGCCAUACCUCUAUCAACCCCUACUCUGUCGCCUAUACAUGUACCCUAGACCCCUCCUUGGAACUAUAAAAGGAGAGGUCCGGGAGCGAUACAACACAGGACAUACGUAGUAGAGCAACCUCACCCCAUCUCAGUCCAUACCACGCUUGUAUUCACCCCUGUACAAGCACUUAGGUGCAGAAUAAUACAAACACUCUCCCCCCGCUGGACGUAGGGCCUUCUCUUGCCCGAACCAGGAUAAAUCUUUGUGUCUUUUUGCAUCACCAUCUGGAAAAGGGAGCACGCAUGCAAGUUUUACUCGUUGGUGUGACCCCCCGAGGGAAAACAUCGACAGUUGGCGCGCCAGGUAGGGGUCCUGCGUGUUUUUUUUCACCAAUUUCCCAUUCCUUUCUAGAUGGCCACUCUCAUUUCGCCAAUUCCACGCUCCACGGUGAUUUGGUUCGGGAGCCUCGAGUUCAUGUCCACCGGCUUUGGCUAUGACAUGAUCCUGCUCUCGGUCAAAGGACCGGGAGGAGCUCGCGUUGCGCCAGCACGAUUGAGGGCUCCAAGACGUCCUCGCCACCACGCCUCCCCACCCAAGAAGAGGUGUGGACAGCGCCACCAUCACCUCUCUGCCUCGUCACGACCGACAGUUCGUGCCAGGCAGGAGGUGACACAGGAGCCGACAGCUCCGCGCGCCGAAACUGCGGGUACGACGAUCCAACACCACGACGAUCGCACGACAACGAUGGGAGAUGGCGCGCCCCGCGCGCUCUCGCCCGCCGCAACGCUACUUCCACACGGGCUAUUCACCCCAAGAAGAACGUUGUUGUUCGGCCUGGACAACGCCGCGGCAUCGCUCGCCAGAGCAAUUUGUCCGAACGCCCAGACUUACGUGGAGAGACCAAUGGUCCUCCCACGCGAUACUGGAGCACAGCAACAGACGUCCGAGCUGCCGGAUUUCUCUCAGGUACGAGGCCUCCGCCGCCUAGGUCCUGGGCGGUACACGAUCACCUCACUCAGGCAACGGCUGCUGGAGGAGGGACGUGGAUGCUUCUACGCCGCCGAGCCGGACUCCGACUCUGAGUCCGACAGCUACGACCCUACUAGGGAAUGCUUCCAUAUCGACGGGGCGGUAGAAACUACAGACGAGAAGCAAGACGCCGUUGCUGGCGGCCGAGCCCCUACGGCAGGGGAAGACCCCAGGACGCCUGGGAAUGAUGGUCAGAUCGACCCCCCUCCACAAGAAGACAGAGCCACGCAACUUGCGCAGUUACGAGAGCUCAUAACAGAGCUCGACGAGGAUCGCGAGCGCCUUGUCCUGCUUGAACAGAUCCUCGAGCAGGACCAGCCAUACCCGCCUGGCGGAAGUGCCGCAGACGGGCUCGAGAAGUACAACGACAUAUCGUCGGAGACGGGGAGCCUGAGCAGCCCAUUAGCCGUUUCCCACGAGCAGGCCAGAACGUCGUCGCCGCGACAAUGCUGCUGCGCAAUAUGCCCGAGCCUUCGAACUCUCAAGCACGAUGCAUUCGAGACAAAGUACAGACUCUGCUUCAAGUAGCGGCAGUUCAGCAGGCCGAGAGCUCGGCCUCUCGACGACGAGGAGCGGCCACAGAGAAGUGUGAUGAGCCAGCCCAUAAUGAAAAGGAAGUAUCGGUCCAUCAACAGCCGCCCCCUCGAGGGAAAAAGACAGCGCUCGUCCUCCACCACCCCGUCGACAACCAACGAUGGCACGACGCACGACGCGACAUCGACGAAAAUCAUCGCCGUCGAUAUGGGGACGCGGAAGAGCGCGGUUACAGCGCUCACAGCGGUGGGCGGUACGACAGCGACGGGGACAGGAUGGCCCCGGAGCCGCCGGGCCCUCGCGUGUUCAGCAGAGCAAUCCACAGCACACCGCUGCCCAGCCCGUUCUGACCCCCGACCAGCAUUGCUAAAUACAACGGCGACACCAAGCCAGAGCUAUGGCUGGCAGACUUUAGGCUAGCCUAUCAGCUGGAAGGCGCUCGAGGGGACGAUCGAGCCAUCAUCCGACAGCUACCGCUCUUCCUCUCCGACACCGCACGCAGAUGGCUCAAGGAGCUCCCGGCCAACCAGAUCCACGAUUGGACCGACUUGGUCAGAGUGUUCGAUGGCAAUUUCAAGGGGACCUACAUACGGCCCGGCAACUCGUGGGACCUCAGCAAGUGCAAGCAGAAGUCAUGAGAAACUCUCUGGGGGUAUGCUCGACGCUUCUCGAAGCAGCGAACCGAGCUGCCACACAUCCCCGACCACGACGUCAUCCUGGCCUUCGUCUCUGGCACCACCGGUCGAGACUUGGUGCGGGAAUUAGGCCGGAAUCGUCCUUAGACCGUCGAUGAGCUGAUGGACGUAGUGGCAAACUACGCUGCAGGGGAAGAAGCGGUAGGCGCCUUCUUCAGUUGUGAAGGAAGGAAAGGCAAGCCGUCCGCCGAUGAUGAUGAGGGCCCCAGUCAAGGUCCCAAGAAGAACAAAAAGAAGAAGAAAACAUGGCUGUUCUAGCGGGAGGACCUCGACGACGAUCUCGUCACCGCCAUGGAGCGCAAAAGGCCUUGAGGACCACUAGAGGGGGCUAUCUUUGACAAGAUGUUAAAGGAGCCAUGUCCUUACCAUAAGGGAGGGGCAAACCACAAGCUCGAGGACUGCCGUAUGCUGAAGAAGCACUUCGACGGCCUGGGGUUCAAGAAGGACGCCCGUGACGACUCGAAGAAAGAGAAGAACGGCGACAAGGGGGACGACAAAGACGACAAAGGCUUCCCAGCCCUCCACGAUUGCUACAUGAUCUAUGAUGGACCCUCGACGCAGCUAACCGCAAGGCAGCGCAAGAGGGAGUGUCGUGAGGUCUUUGCGGCAAGGUUGGCAGUGCCCCAAUACCUCAGCUGGUCAAGCACCCCCAUCACCUUCGUUCGAGACGACCACCCCGACAAGGUAAUUGCCCCUGGCGUCUACCCACUCGUUGUCGACCCCAUCAUCGUCCACACCAGACUCUCGAAGGUGUUGAUGGAUGGCGACAGCAGCCUGAACAUCAUCUACCUCAACACCCUCGACCUUCUCCGCAUCAACAGGGCGCAGCUCCAACCAAGCGCCAGCGUCUUCCAUGGUGUCGUACCUGGAAAGAAGGCGUUGCCGGUAGGUCGAAUCGACCUGCCGGUCUGUUUUGGCACGGCGGCCAAUUUCAGAAAGGAGACCCUCACUUUUGAGGUGGUGGGGUUCCGAGGCACAUACCACAUCAUCAUUGGGCGCCCGGGCUACGCCAAGUUCAUGGCCAUCCCCAACUACACCUACCUGAAGCUGAAGAUGCUCGGACCCAAGGGCGUCAUCACCGUCAGCUCCUCCUACCAGCAUGCGUACGAAUGUGACGUCGAGUGCGUAGAGUAUGGGGAGGCUGUCGAGAGCUCCGCCGAACUCGCCUCGAAGCGCAAAGCCCUAGCCGCAGAAGCUCCAGAGCCCAAGCGCCACGCGGGCAGCUUCGAGCUGGUAGAAGGAACAAAGAAGAUUCUGCUCGACCCCGACAACUCCGACGGCAAUGUGCUGACGAUCAGCGCUGACCUCGACCCUAAAUAGGAAGCCGUGCUCGUCGACUUUCUCCGUGCAAACACCGACAUGUUUGCAUGGAGUCCCUCGGAUAUGCCAAGCAUACCGAUGGAAGUCGCCGAGCACUCCUUGGAAAUUCGGGCCGGUUCCAAGCUAGUGAAACAACGGUUGCGUCGCUUCGACGAGGAGAAACGCAGGAUCAUUGGCGAGGAGAUCCACAAGCUUUUGGCGGCCGGAUUCAUCAAGGAGGUUCACCAUCCCGACUGGUUAGCAAAUCCUGUACUAGUUAAGAAAAAGAUUGGGAAAAUGAGGAUGUGCGUCGAUUAUACAAGUUUAAAUAAAGCAUGUCCGAAAGUUCCCUUCCCAUUACCACGUAUUGAUCAAAUUGUUGAUUCUACUGCGGGAUGUGAAACCCUUUCUUUCCUUGAUGCAUAUUCUGUUUACCAUCAAAUAAAAAUGAAAGAGUCCGACCAGCUCGCGACAUCUUUCAUCACGCCUUUUGGGAUGUAUUGUUAUGUAACCAUGCCGUUCGGGCUUCGAAAGGCGGGAGCAACAUACCAGCGAUGCAUGCUCCACGUGUUCGGCAAGCACAUAGGGUCGACAGUCGUGGCAUACGUCGACGACAUCGUCGUCAAGUCGAAACAACAAGGAGACCUGAUUCAAGAUCUCGAGAUCGCUUACACGCCAACAAGAUUAAGCUCAACCUCGAGAAAUGCGUCUUUGGUGUACCCCGAGGCAUGGUCCUGGGAUACAUAGUCUCCCAACGCGGCAUCGAGGCCAAUCCUGAGAAAGUCUCGGCCAUCACGGGAAUGGGGCCGAUCUGAGACGUCAAGGGAGUGCAAAAGAUCACAGGAUGUUUGGCGGCGCUAAGUAGUUUUAUCUCGAGGUUGGGAGAAAAAGCAUUGCCGCUGUAUAGGCUCUUGAAAAAAGCCGAGCGUUUCUCUUGGACCCUCGAAGCCGAGGAGGCCCUCGAUAACUUGAAGAAAACACUGACCUCGGCCCCGGUCCUGGUCCCGCCUCAACCUGCAGAACCUCUGCUUCUGUACGUUGCCUCGACGACCCAGGUCGUUAGUGCGGCAGUGGUGGUCGAAAGGCAGGAGGAGGGACAUACGCUGCCAGUCCGAGGCCGGUCUAUUUCAUCAGCGAAGUGCACUCAGAGACCAAGGCACAGUACCCACAGAUCUAGAAGCUAAUCUACGCCGUGAUUCCCGCCCGACGAAAGCUGCAACACUACUUCCUCGGCCACCCUAUCACGGUGGUCUCAUCCUUCCCCUUGGGUGAGAUCAUCCAAAGUCGGGAGGCCAUGGGGAGAAUUGCCAAAUGGUCGAUCGAGCUCAUGAGUGAGACCCUCACUUAUGCGCCUUGCAAAGCCAUCAAUUCUCAAGCUCUGGCGGAUUUCGUCGCAGAGUGGACGGACUCCUAGCUCCCCCCGGCUCAAGUCCAAGCGGAACUAUGGACGAUGUAUUUCGACGGGUCUCUCAUGAAGACAGGAGCUGGAGCAGGCCUGCUAUUCAUCUCACCCCUUGGCGUCCAUAUGAGGUACAUUAUCAGAAUACACUUUGCUACAUCCAACAACGUCGCGGGGUACGAGGCCCUUGUCAAUGGUCUGAAGGUCACCAUCGAGCUAGGAGUUCGACGCCUCGACGUUCGAGGUGACUCCCAACUUGUCAUCGACCAAGUAAUGAAGGCCUCCAACUGCCACGACCCGAAAAUGGAGGCGUACUGCAAGGAGGUAUGUCGCCUCGAGGAUAAGUUCCACGGCCUCGAGCUCAUUCAUAUCGCCCGACGCUACGACGAGGCAGCCGACGAACUCGCCAAGAUCGCCACGACUCGUAGUACGGUCCCGCCCGACGCGUUCUCAAGAGAUCUGCACGAGCCUUCCGUCGACUUGGGGUUGGGGGCUGGCAUAGAAACCACCGCCCUCCAACAAACCGACUCCAUCGAGGCUCUGGUAGCGGCAGCAGAGGUAAUGGAAGCAGAACAGCAACCCGGUCGACCGUUCGACUGGCGUACGCAGUUCUUCGACUGCCUGAUUCGUUGCGAGCUACCAGAAGAUCGAUCCGAAGCCCGCCGUAUCGCUCGAUGGGCCAAGUCAUACAUAAUCUACGGUGAAGGCAAUGGGCUAUACCGACGAAGCCCGACGGGAAUCUUGCAGCGUUGCAUCACCAUAGAGGAAGGCCGAAAGCUUCUCGAGGACCUACACUCGGGGGCUUGUGGGCACCACGCCGCUCCGCGGACCCUCAUAGGGAACGAAUUCCGACAAGGUUUCUACUGGCCAACGGCCGUAGCUGACGCCAUCGAGCUCGUACGCUCAUGCCAUGGGUGUCAAUUUUAUGCCAAGCAGACGCAUCUUCCCGCCCACGCUCUCCAGAUGAUCCCCAUCAUGUGGCCGUUCGCGGUGUGGGGACUCGACCUAGUGGGGCCUCUACAAAAGGCAGCAGGAGGAUACACCCAUUUGCUGGUGGCCAUCGACAAGUUCUCCAAAUGGAUCGAGGCUCGACCCAUCACGAACAUCCGCUCCGAGCAAGCCGUCCUUUUAUUCACCGACAUCAUCCACCGGUUUGGGAUUCCCAACGUCAUCAUCACCGACAACGGCACUCAGUUCACUGGCAAGAAGUUCUUGGACUUCUGCGAUCGGCAUCACAUCCGUGUGAACUGGUCUGCAGUGGCCCAUCCUCGAACUAACGGCUAGAUAGAGCAUGCCAACGACAUGAUUUUGCAGGGGCUUAAACCGAGGAUCUACGACCGCUUGAAGAAAUUCGGAAAGAAAUGGGUCAAAGAGCUCUCUUCGGUCCUAUGGAGCCUGAGGAUGACACCGAGCAUGGCCACAAAAUACACCCCAUUCUUCAUGGUCUACGGCUCUGAGAUCGUGCUCCCAACGGACCUCGAGUAUGGGUCCCCUCGACUCAAAGCAUACAACGAGCAAUCAAACAAGGAGACUCGAGAGAAUGCAGUCGACCAACUCGAGGAAGCUCGAGACAUGGCCCUCCUCAACUCCGCCAGAUACCAGCAGAAGCUUCGACGCUAUCACGACAAGCACGUGUGCAAAAGAGAUCUGAACGUGGGCGAUCUUGUCCUGCGGCGGCGGCAAAGCAACCAAGGGCGCCACAAGCUGACUCCGCCCUGGGAAAGCCCGUACGUGGUGGCCGAGGUCCUGAAGCCGGGGACAUACAAGCUAGCGGACGAAAAAGGGGCAGUCUUCACCAACGCAUGGAACAUCGAACAGCUAUGUCGAUUCUACCCCUAGAAUUUCAAAGCUUUAUAUUCCUAUGUACAUUCUGUACCGAGACCUUACGAAUGAACACAUGAAUGGAUAAGACGUUUCCCUCGAGUACUUCACUUUUUCGAUUGAUUGAAAUUUCGACGUUAGAAGGGAGUACCAACUAUGACCCAUCACAGUCGAUACCCCCUCGGGGGCUAGCAGGGGGGUGCCCCCCAUGUGUCAAAAAAACCAAGUAAUUCUUUCGAUCCUAUUAGUAAACCUCGCACGGUCGAGUAGUAAAGGCACCUCGAGCCCCUUGAGGGCCGAGAGACAACGAGCCUGAGAACUCCUACGCCCCCGGGCUAUGGAAACUCUACUCGCUCCCUCACCCUCGAGGCAAUCAGGGUCGCUUUAACAAAAGACCAAGCGGGGAAUACAGACAUAGGCAGAAAAGGAAACGAAGGAACCUCGAGCGGAAAGACGAGCAUAUAUUCACAGAUCUUAUAAACCAAUUAAAAACAUAGUAUCACUUAAGACAGGAUAAUAAAGUACUGUACAAGGGGCCUCAGCACCCAGAGUAGGCUCGCAGGCCUCAGUCUGUGUCUCGGCCCUCACCACCGUCAUCCGCGCCCGAGCUAGUCUCGGGAGGAAGUACUUCCGGCUUGAAUAACUUCGCCAGCCUUUCCCCAGGAGCCUCCGCGUCAUUGACCAAGGCAUGGAGCCUCUCCUCGUUCUCCGCGUCGGUCUUAGAGAUGUUGGUGACGAAGCCGUGAGACACCACCUCCAUAUCGUAGGAAAAGCCUGAGCAGACAACCGCCAUUGCCCACUUUACCCCAGUAUGAAGGGCGUCCCGCACCCGGUCCCUCACCGUAUCGCCUAGAUAGCAUAGCUGGUCGACCAGUGCGUCACCUCGAGCCUCCUCCCUUGACUUGUCCAUGGGUUUGAGGUCCCAAGAGGUUGAGAGAUCACUUAUCGCCGUCCGCAGUCGACGGUUCAAAGCGACCUCCCACUCGAGCUGAGCCUUGGUGGAGCGGGCCUCGACUUGAGCGGCAAGCAGCUCAUCUUUAAGCCCUACAAGGACCGACACGGAGAAAUUAGACAACACAAAGCACAUCUCAGAAAGGAAACUCAAUAAUGGAAACAUACCAUGAAUUCUCUCCUCUAGAGCCGUAUUCUCGCCGACUAAGUUGGUGUUGGCCCUCUCGAUCUCCUUGUUGGAGCGUGCCAGCUCGGUGUUGGUGAAGCGCAGGUCCUCGAUCACCUUGCCGGCCUGCGCGAUGGCUCCAUCUUUCUCCAGCAGCGCUCUCUUCAGACGAUCGACGUCGUCAGAGAGGCUGCCAGACCGAGUCCGCUCCACCUCGAGAUCCUCAAGAGCCUUCUUCUUGGCCUCCUCCGCGGCGCUCCAGGCAAUCUCGCCAUUCAUGCACUCCACGUUCAUCCUUUGGAAGGAUUCCCUGGUGGAGGCAAGGUCAGUCUUGAGGAGGCCCUUCUCCUUGUCCAGGUCAGCGGCCACAUUCUUGUAAGACAAGGCCUCGUCCUCGCCAUUCCCUCAGCAGCGCGGCAUCUUCCACCGCCUUCCUCGAGGCCUCUCGAGCCUCAGCCAGAGCUACCUCCCUCUCCUUCUUCUCCUCCUCAAGCACCAAAAGCUCCUUGUAGGCCUUGAGGAGCUUCUCCUGCGACUCCAGGAGUUGGUCCUUGAGACUGGGGAGUUCCUCCCAGCCGCCUCUCGUCGCGUGGAUGAAGCUCGACUUGAUACGGGAGGUUUCUUUCAGAUCCUGCGAGCCAGCAGUUAGAUAGUAAGAAUACAGAACCAAAACGCCCUAUAGCAACUAAGAUCCCAAAGACACUUACAAAGUAGGCCGGACCAAGCCUGUUGUGGACGACGUCAGACAAGAGCCCCACCACGUGCUUCACCCACAGGCGGAGCUCCUCGAGGUGUUCCCACUUUUCGGCCUCCUUCCGAUCAUCCAAAAAGAUGUUGGGCUCGGACGGAUCGGUGGAGGCCCGAAUGCGGAUCUGGUCGGGGCACCAGUUCUCCAUCUCCUGAUCAGCGCGCGCCUUGACGCCCCGGAUGUGCUCCUCGAUGGUCUCGGCCGACCCCCCGUGGCGCAAGAACAGGUCGACGAGGGAGGGGAACCGCCCGUUGUCAUCCACCGUCUUCCAAGUUCCCGUUUCACUGGCAUAGCCGCCGCCUGACGUCCCAGCCUCAUCUUCCUCGGUGGGAAUACGGUCCUCCCACGACCGACGCUCUCGAAGGAACCCGGAAGCGAUCCCGUCGAUGCCAUAGAUCGUCCCUUUAAUCUCUGACUGGGGGUCGACGAGGGUACGCAUCAUACAGGCGAGCGCCACCACGCCGUCCACCCGCCGUGACUAGGCUGGGAUCGAAGCGGGCGCUCCAGGACGGAGCCACGCCGGGGUCGGCAGACCGUAAACCGGCAGACCCUCCUCCUCGGUUGCAGGCUCUUGUGGCGUUGGCGGCACUGGCUGGGGCGGACUACGAGGUGGUUGCUCGAGCAGUCCCCCUAACUGCUGGCUCCUCUGCCGCUGCUGCUCCAGGAGCUCCCGCAGCUCCUGCUGCCGGUCCUGCUCUAGCAGCUCCUCGAGCUGGGGUCCUUCCGGCCGUCGCUCCUCCUCUCCUUCUUCCUGCUGCAGCUCCUGCUCGCGUUCCUCCUCCUCCCUUUUUCUCUGCUCCUCGAUGGAGUGGAGCCCGGUGGGCCAAGGCGUUCGCUUCGCGAUAGGAGAAGCCUCGACUUCCUCGUCCGUAGGACGGGCAUCCUUCGAAGGCCCGUCGCCACCGGACCCAUCACUUAUUGUGAUAGGAUCCCCCUCGACCUCAGAUCGGGGAGGCUCGGGGGCUCCCUCCUGCUCUUGGGGGCGAGGCGCCUCGACCCGUUUCGGUGACGGCGGGGUGGACUCCCCCGUCAAUGGGCGAGGCGGGGCGCUCUCGGCACCAGUCGGCGGCCGAGGGUCGGAGGAGCCUGAAAGCACUCUAAGGCAAAAAGUCAGUCGUCAUGAUGAUCGACAUAAAGACAACACAACUCCCAUAACGACGGGAAUGAACUGCUAACGUGAAUCUUUGGAGGCCGCUCCCACCUUAAGUCUUUUGGCCAUCGAGGGCUGGGCCUGUUUGAGUGUCCGUUUCAACCUGAGGAGAGAGGAACGGGCAUGAGAGAGGCCAUUACCUGAGAAAACGCAAAGACUUAGGAAGAUGAGAAUCAUAACGUCGAAAAUCUUACCCCACAGGGAGAACGGCCCGCCUGCCGGUACCUCGACCGACAGGCCUCGAGCCGCCCCACGUAAAAGCUCUAGGCCCCUCACAAACGGGCGCAGGCUCGGCAUCUCCCGCCUAGUGAGCGCCAGGGCUAGCGCUCCUGCGGCUUGCUUCCCCCUUGCUGGAAGCCGCGGCCGCGGGUCAGCGGCCCCAUCGCCACGGACUUAGCCCGGUCGUCCGCCUUUGACGCAGGGGGAGGUUGGGGGCGCGGGACAGCCCAGCUUGGUGCAGGCUCUGGGGGAGUAUCGGCGCGGGAGCAGUGUGGGGACCCGCGUGGCCUCUUUUGGGGGCUCCCGUCCGAGGGGCGUCGACGUCGGUCCGAGGCGAACCCUCAAGAAUCCUGUCAAGACGGGACGCCAUCCCCUCGGAGUCAUCGCUGUCGUCGUCUUCAUCGCCGCCAUCGUCCUCAUCGGGGGACUCUUCCUCAGGCUCCCCCCUCUAUCUAGACUUUGCUCGGCGUGUCUCCAGCGCUUGGCGCUCGAGAUUCUUCUUCUUCUCCUUCUUCUUUUUUAAGUCCAUUGCGGACUUCUGCUUCUCAGCGGACUCUGGCCGCUUGUCACGAUCGACCUCGUCCUCCUUUACCGGGGGCUUGGAAGAUCGAGCAUCAAUCGAUCCCUGCACGAGCAAAGGUAAGUCUUAAAAGAAGAUCGAAGGAAAUCGACGAUCGGAACCGUAAACAGGAAAAGGAACUAACCAGGUCGAUCGACCCCUGGUCGGGCCUCAUAGGAAGCCGUUGACGUGCUUGGGCUGGAAAUCGACUGCAACAGCCGCCCUAACCCUGGCGGCGACCUCAUCGUCCGCGGGUGCCUCGUUGGACAUCCGGCACGCCUCGAGAUCCUGGGACGAAACGCUGGGACCCAUCUCGUCCAUCCUCAGUGGCCGAGACAUCAAUGGGAGAACCCUCCGAUGAUGGACGGCCGAGAGGACAAGAGCGGCAGUGAGGCCUUCCUCGCGUAGCUUCUUCAGGGCGUUGAGGAGGGGGUCGAGCCGCGAUUGGUGAGCCUGGACGACGCCGUACUUCCAGUGAUCCGGACGCUCUGAGAUCAGACGCCCGGUGUAGGUAGGAAGGAGGUCAUUGUUGACGGUCCUUAAGUAUCAAAUUUAAUUAUCAAAUAAACAAAGAAAAAGAUCCAAAUGAAAUCAACAUCUAGACUUAGGGUUUUAUCUGACAGAAUUCCAUGAGUUUUGGUGUUUGUCUAUUUCUGCAGGGGGUUAUCAGGAAAUAAGGAAGAAAGGCCCACAUGUCGGGAUUACAUAGAGAUAUCAACCCACCGUGCAAUUUUCUACCAUCUAGAAGAAGACUCCAGAAGCCACGGGAAGGAAGCGGAGCCCGAAAGGGGCCAGGCCCAGGGCGCCCGCCCUGAGGACCUGGGCGCCCGCCCCACUCUGGACUCCGUUCCGGACUCUCUUCGCACACGACGUUCCACCGACCUAUUGGAUCCAGAAUAACAUAGUACCACCUCGCCUAUCGACCCAAAAACGCAUAGAAGGGGAGGACUAUAUAAGGAGACCCCCUCUGGCCCCUGGAGGAGACAAGAAAUUAUCAUAGAGAUUGAGGGGUGCCCUCGAAGGAAAACCUCUUCUCUAAAUAAUAUUUCUUUUUAGGCUUAGCAACCAAUGUAAGGUAGAAAUAGAUCUUCUAGUUUCUACUAGAUUGAGAGAGAUAGAGUGGAGGUGUGGAUCGGAUGAAGGCCGGCAUGUCGGUGUCUACUCCGAGUUGUACCUACGGGAUCAAGUCUCCUAACCCGAGGCUUGCUUCUAAGAUUCUUCAGUAAUUCGACUUCUAAUACUAGUAAGUUCUUGUUUUAUUGUUCUUUGGUUUAUGAGUUUACUUUAAUCCUCUUCCGGUUGAGUAUUAGAGUAAUCACUUGUUAGCGUAAACGUGGUGUUUAGGCUAGGGUACUCAUAGAUAUCCCCUGACUAGCUGGACCGUGGUAGUAGCGAGGAACGUGACAUUUCCGAGUUACCUUUGUAGAUCACAUCUCGUUAGCAGGACGGGUAGGGUUAUAGGUGCGGGUCGAACAUCCUUUGUGUUGUCUAGAUUCCGUGAGCCUCCCCAAUAGAACAGUAGAUCAUCCUUACCAAGGUUAGAACGAGACUACGGUUGCAGUCUUCUCUAUACAUCACUCACAUCGAGAGACAUUCUUUGUAGCCUAAAGGGGUAGUAGCAAUAGAUUUGGUUAGUCAGAUGCACCCUUUCUCCCAGUGGUAAAAAUAUAAAUACGAUACUCUGGAAAAUCUCCCGGGUGAAAUGCUCACCGAUAUCCGUGCGCUUGCGGAUCAUUUCCUUAUUGCGUUACCAAUUAUCAACAAGCAUUUCUGGCGCCGUUGCCGGGGAGAAAGACGGUUUGCUGAGAUAACUUUGAAUCUUGCUAUUAUCUUGUAUUAUACUUUUAUACUAUUAUUCUUUUAUCUAUUUAUUUUUAUCUUUAUGGAUAACUCAAAUUCCAUACCUAUUAUUAAAUUCAUUGCACCUUCGGAGACCAGCCAUAGACCAUGGGAGUCAACACGUCCUGCCCCUAAUUAUGAUCUGUGUCCGGAGUUGAUUGCAAUAGGUCAAAACCAACCCUUUUCUAUAGCCGAGGUCCUAUCUUUUAAUCAAGAAGAUAAUGCACUUUUAGCUACACCUAGGGAAUCUUUUAAUCUUUCUAUAAAUUCUGGUUUAGACCUAGCCCUACAAGACCAUGUUUUUCCUAAAUAUUUUCACAUUGGUCUUAAUCAUAUAACCUUUGGUAGAGUCCUUCUUUCUUUAUCUAUUGGUAAAGGAAGGUAUGUCUUCAUUCGUGGACAUCCUUCUUGUACUAGUCUUCAUAGAAAAAUCUUAGAGAUAGAGAAGGAAUCAUCUCCCAGACAAGGAAAGGAAGUUUCAAUAGCCGAUUUCCAAACAUUCCAAUCCCAUGAUUCGGCUAUCCAUCCCAUCCUUGAGCUUAAUAGUUUCUACUAUGCUCUUUCUCUUGAACCUCCCGAUAAUCCUAUGAAUCUCUCUAGACAUCCCAUGCAUAAGAAGGAGGAUCGAGAAGAGCAACAUCAAUGGCUAGAGGGCAUUAAAAAUCCAUGUGCUAUCACCAUUGAAUGGAUAGAUAAAACAAACUUGAGAGACAAUCCUAGAGGAAUUUUAAACAUUCAAGAAGAAUCAUCCUUGGAGGUUGAGAAUGAGAGAAACAACAGUGAGCAUGGAAGUUAUUUCAUAAAUACCUCACCCAGUCCUUGCUCAUAUAAAACAUCUCUCCAAUCAAUUUGUCUCUCCAUCCUUACCACAUUUGAGAUCUCCAACCCCCUCUUCUUUUCUAUUUAUAAAAACUUUAAAAGGGUGGUUGUCGAUGCAUAUGUCUAUAAUAAAUAUUGCAGAUCUCGUUGAGUUAAUCGAUGGUUCCCCAAGGACAAGCUUAGUGUCCUAAAAAUAGCACUUCUAAUUAUUUGCUUAGUGUCCUAAACCAUUGCUUAAUUCGCACUGAUCAGAUCGUAACAUGAACUUCUAAUUAUUUGUAACAUUGCCUUGUGUAUUGAGCAUAUAAAGAUAAUUGUAGAAAUAUUCCUUCGGGUAUUCUUGUCACUAACCUUUCCAGGAUUGGAGCAAGAAGAUCGGAUGAAUGACAAGCACAAGGUAUGUCCAACCAACCAUCACACAACAUUGAAUUAAAUUCAUCCAAACUUGAAUUUUGCAAAAUUCAAGCUUGGGGGAGUACUUUACAUAAAAACAUCCUUUGCCAUGUUGCUACGUUGGUUGUCCCUACCUUUGAGAGAUGCUCAAUUUGUUAAGUACUAAUCACACUACUUCAUCUCCAAUUGAGUAGAUCUCUAUAAAUGCCAUCAUGCUACCUUUGUUUAUCCUAGUAAGUGUUGGUUUGGAAGUACUCGACAUACUUCCAUUGGCUUUUAAAUUAAGCAUGGUGCUUAGGUUAAACAGCCUUCCUUAAUCUGAUUAGACAUGGAGUCUAGUUUGGUUACUGAACUAAAAACUGCUUGAGUAGAUAUUGGUAUAUUUUGUGGGACUAACCCCUGCAGGAAAACUUUCAAUAUCAACCUGGGAAGUCCUGAGAUACAAACUCAUUGGAGAUAAAGGAGACACAUGAAAUUUAACAUUUUGCACAAGAAGGACAUAGCUCAUUCAUCAUAAAGAGAUGAUCCAUGGAGGGUGCCACAAACACGAUGCACAACCGCUAAGAAAGGAAAGCUUCCACAAGGUGAUACUAUACCAUCACUCUUCAAGUAAGGUAACAUCUUAAGGUACUUGACUAUCGCUUUUAUAAGCUUCGCCUUGGUUCUGGCAUUCACAUAAAUAAAGAGACAAACAUGUAUGAUUUAUAACUCUAAAUUAACCUAACUGAUUCAGCAUGUUUAGUCCUUUAAUCUUUGUUCUUAGCACUACCUUCGUGAUCUCACACUCCUAAUCAUAUAAGCUAAUAUGUUGCACAUUCAAUCUUUGGAAGAUAUAAACAAAACAUAAAUAUAGAUAGAUUAUCUUUCCAUUAGGUUGAGCCAUCUGAUCUAACAAAUGUUUUAAAUGCUACACUCAUGAUCCAUCAACUUUGUCUUGCUCAAUAUGCUUAAGGUUAGAGAAGAACAAAUACACUUUUGGUUUUGUUGGUGUUUUCCACCAACAGGGCCCAUGCACUUGAUCUCUACCUUGUCUCUAUGAGCAGGAACACUUCGAGCAUAAUAUGAAGGAGUUUUACAACUCCCAGAUUCUACCAAGUGAAGAACUAGGAUCUACGAGCACAAACACACUGGAGAUACUGGACGCUCAGGCAAUCAUUGCCCUAAGAUGCUUGAGGACGUGAACUACAUCAACAACAAUAACAACUAUUACUACAACCAUCCUCAACAACAUCAAGGUUGGAAUCAACAGAGGCCUAAUUACUCAGAGAGGUGAUCUAGGACGCCCCGUCAUCCCGAUCUCCAUCGGCAUGGUGGACUUCCCAGAAGCACUCUGCGACUUUGGCUCCAGCGUCAACAUUAUGCCCAGGGUUGCAGAUCGGACACUCAGUUUCCCAAAGGAAAUAUUGAAGAACCUUUGCGUCCGAGUUGGUACCUUGUUUGCUCUAGCAGACUUCAUGGUGAUAGAGACUGGUACUGAGGAGAGGGCACCCAUCAUCUUAGGGAGGCCAUUCCUAAACACUAGAGCUGUCAUCUACGCUAAUGCUGCCAAGAUCAGUCUCUACAUCAAGGGGAAGAAGGAGACUUUCCUUCAAGAACAAGACUACACAAACUUUAGAGCAACCCUGACAUGAACCAAGGAAGAGGACCAACAGGAGGAACAGGAACAAGCAAAUGUGGACUGAGUCAGCUAAGAUGGUCACUGCAGUUCAAAAAGGUCAAGAUCGUCGACUCGAGUCGCCAUUCCUGAUCAAGAAGGACAACCCUAGUGUUCUAAGUAUUGAGUGCACAAUCAAUAGAUACUCUUUUUAGAAGACACUCUAUGACACCGGAUCUGAUGUCAACAUAAUGGCCGCAGUCACUUAUCAGCUCCUGCAUGGAACCAUGCUCCUACAACCAGCAUACAUUCAGCUCCAGAAAAUUUUCAGGUCAUUGACAUGGGAGAAGACGAGUAUGAUCCACCCACCAUCCUUGGAAGACCGUUCCUCAACACUAUCAAAGCCAUCAUCUAUAUUGGAACCGGAGAAGUCCACAUGCACUUCCUCUCUGAGAAGGUACGCCACUACUUUAAUGAUUCUAACUAUAUAGUUGAGGAUUCUAAGCAGGUCAGGACAAGAAGAAGACAACGCAACCGCAACCAGAGGAGGCAGAUCAUCAAGGACGGAUGGGUAGACUACGAAGGAGAAGUGAAAAGGUCUGAACACAUACGGCUUGAAUAGAACUGUCCUGAGGAGACCGUAGCACCGAGUCAGGUGUGGAGAGAGAAGAUAGUUAUACACGACGAAGAGGCGCCGUCGGAAUCACCGACUACGCCACCUAGCGAAUCCCAGGACGACUAAGAAAACGGAGAGUCCCGUUCGGAGAACUUAAAAAUACCAAACGCCUUGCCAAGAGGUAAACUUGGUAGUUAUGCUUUUCCAUUCAAUAGUUUGCUUAGUUAAUCAGGUUCAUGCUAUCUUGAAAAGAAAAUAAAUGUUAAAAAAUAGUAAGCCCCAUGUGAGUAUGCUCAUGGCAUAAAACCCAUAAGUACAUUCACUGUGGUGGCAUGAAAAUAAAAUAAAUAAGUUUUCAUCUUACAAUAAAAAUAUAAAAAUAAUAAGUGCAUGAUCCUGCUAAAUAAGUAAUAUUGAGGAGGCUCAACAUGAUAAAGGCUAGAUAUUUAUGCUAACACUUAAUUAGUUCCACAAGCUUUGUUGUCUAUUUGAGCUCCACAGAAUUUAAGAAUCAAGAAGACUAGCAGACGGAGGACAUUCUAAUCGCUGUCAAAAUACUGCUGACUUUCAAACACACCUCUGCCACCUGCUAGCUACAUCAAGAGAAAUUACAUCAAAAUUCAGCUUGGGGGAGAGCACCCCCAUUUUUCUCGAUAAGUAUUUCUAUCUAUCUUUAUACUUAUACUAUAUUAGAAUAUAAAUACACAUAACUAUGAAAAACCAAAUAAAGAUUUUAUGCUUAUAUAUAUUUUGCUUAGUAUGUUUAAUAAAUAAAUAAAGUGGCUAUGCUAAUCUGUAUCUAAUAAAACUUAAGCAUGGAUAUGAUGAAUAGUUGCUCUGCCUAAUUUGCAAAUUUGAAGUUCUCUCUCAAGUUUAGAUAUAACUGUUAUAAUUUAAGGCUUGCUCUAGACCUAAACUUGUGGGAUGAAAACUUGAGCUGAAGUCUAAGUUGUUAACGGAUACGAUAUGGGAAGGUUGAGCUGCUGUUUAUCUGUUCUUAGAGAUGCUAGAAUUCUGGAGAAUUUUAUCUUUGAAAAUCUUUAAAAUGUUGCAUGAUGAGUUCCUGUAUGAUGAGAGUUUAAAUUCCUACCACAGCCACAUAUACAUGCUUGCUAGACCUUGAGCCACACAUUUACUAUUUACUGCUUAUGAGCAUUGAGUGUGGUCAAGCUGUGUAGACCCUUAGGAGCUUGUCAUGUGGUUAAAUCAAGAUUCACUUGCACGUUCACUCAUACAUGCUACUUCUACUCCGGAAGUACCAUCCACAUAUAUCCACUCGUUUCCAUCUCCAAAACCACCCAAAAGUAUUCUACUCCUAAUCCGGGAGAGAAUAACCAAAAAUAUUUCUGUUUCCCCUUGUGAAAUAAAUGCUCAAGUUAUCUUGUUACUACCACUUGCUACAUUAUUUCAGGAGAUGAGUGCUCUAGAAAAAAAAAGAGAAAAAAAAAGAAGAAGAAAAAAAAGAAAAUAAAAGAUACGAGGAAAUAAAAAGGAGCAAGUGCUCGGAACCUCGAAAGAAAAGAAAAAGUAAGACGAGAGGUAAAAAUGGACAAGUGUCCGACAGUAGAAUUAGGGGUGCAAGAUACCCACCUGAGAGAAAAAAAGAAGAUCAUCUCAUUCUCCUCAUAAAAUUUCAAAAGCAAGGAAGGUAUGUAUCCCCUCAAAGAGCAAAGUAGAAUUAGACUUCCACCACCAUUGUUAUCACCAUCAUCACCAUACACCAUUCAUUCGCCACACAUGCACAUCUUGAUUUGGCUUAUUGAUUUGUUUCUUUGGAUCCAUGGUUUGACUAUGCAAUAAAUGUCUUGUAAGUAUGUAUACUUUAUCUCCUACCUAUGAGCUCCAGAUAUUAAAGUCUUAUUAGAGUAGGGUGAGAGAGAAGACAAUGUCACUAUGCUUCAUACCACAAAUACUACAUAUCUUGAGAGAAGGCAUAUACCAUCACUGCCUUGGUAAGGAUCCAAAAAUACCACAAAAGAGAGACCUGAGAGAAUCAUACAAGGAAUUUCUGAGUUUUAUUUGAAAAUCUGCAAAAACCCCAGAGCUAUAGCUGAUCAAGAAUAAGAGACAUGGCACUUGGCUAGACUGUUCUAUCUUUUAACCACUCAAGACAGAAGUGACGGUUACAAGUCCUAUGGUGUAGGUAAAGUAAGUAAGUUUUAAGUCUUAACAGUUUACUCUAACCCAGAGAUGAGAUCUUAUUUAAAAGCAUGUGUACCGUCAAAUUUUUAAAGAUAUUGCAACUACUUAUGAUCCAUAGCUGAGUCUAUCCUUGCUCAGGGACGAGCAAGAGGUAAGCUUGGGGGAGUUUGUUGACGGUCCUUAAGUAUCAAAUUUAAUUAUCAAAUAAACAAAGAAAAAGAUCCAAAUGAAAUCAACAUCUAGACUUAGGGUUUUAUCUGACAGAAUUCCACGAGUUUUGGUGUUUGUCUAUUUCUGCAGGGGGUUAUCAGGAAAUAAGGAAGAAAGACCCACAUGUCGGGAUUACAUAGAGAUAUCAACCCACCAUGCAAUUUUCUACCAUCUAGAAGACUCCAGAAGCCACGGGAAGGAAGCGGAGCCCGAAAGGGGCCAGGCCCAGGGCGCCCGCCCUGAGGACCUGGGCGCCCGCCCCCCUCUGGACUCCGUUCCGGACUCUCUUCGCACACGACGUUCCACCGACCUAUUGGAUCCAGAAUAACAUAGUACCACCUCGCCUAUCGACCUAAAAACGCAUAGAAGGGGAGGACUAUAUAAGGAGACCCCCUCUGGCCCCUGGAGGAGACAAGAAAUUAUCAUAGAGAUUGAGGGGUGCCCUCGAAGGAAAACCUCUUCUCUAAAUAAUAUUUCUUUUUAGGCUUAGCAACCAAUGUAAGGUAGAAAUAGAUCUUCUAGUUUCUACUAGAUUGAGAGAGAUAGAGUGGAGGUGUGG